rnacentral:rRNA from 1 species
AUGGCGGCGGAAGAAGCAGCCGCCUCCGCCGCCGCCACCAACUUCGAGGUGGACCUGGGCCACCUCCUCGCCUACGACCCCUCGCACCACCUCGCCGCCGCCGCCGCCUCCUCCAGGGCGGAGCUGCGGGACGAGUGCCUGCGGAAGGCCACGGAGCUGGCGCAGGCCGUCGCCGACGCCCUCUUCUCGCUGCCGGCCACCGAGGGCCGCGACGGCCCCGUCGUCCGCCUCCCGCCGCCCGCCAACCGCCUGCCCCGCGAGAAGCAUUUACCAAGGCCGAAGCCUCCUACCAAGUGGGAGCAGUUUGCGAAAUCGAAAGGUAUUAUCAAGCACAAGAAGAACAAGCGUGCAUGGGAUGAGCAAACUAAUUCCUGGAAGCGGACUUACGGCUAUGAUCGUGUUAAUGAUGACAGAGACGUUCCCAUCAUUGAAGCCAAAUUGACAGAUGAGCCUGGUGUUGAUCCUUUUGCUCAAAGAAGGGAAGAGAAGAAGGGCAGGGUAGAUAAGCAAGAAAAAAACAGACUUGGGAAUUUGAAGAAUGCUGCAAAAGUUGGUGCUCUGCCAAGUCAUAUACAGCUUGCUGCCACGUCCGUGCCCAUCACAGGAACUAAAGCUGAUCUGCCUAGAAAAGCUAAGAAGGAAGAUCUCGAGAAUGUUGCUGGUAUGGCUUCGGCUGCAACAGCUAGCGGUGGAAAGUUUGACAAAAAGUUGCCUGGCGAGAAACCUCUUAAGAAGGCUGGCAAAAAUAGAAAGUUCCUCCCUGUUGUUGAAGGGAAAGGAAUGGGCAACCUGGAGAAACAGCAAAAUGACAAGAUCCUGAACAGCCUGCUGGCCAAAAACUUCGAGGAGCCCUUGGAUGUCAGCAAGGCAAGCCUCCACGAUUCAGUAUAUGUUACCUUCUCUAUUUGUCUAGCCCAGCAUCUAACAGCAGCUUUGAUACCAGGCAAUCACGAUGUACAAGGUGAAGAAGGACAACAAGAGGAGGAAGGACAAACAAUCAUCAUCAUCCGGAUCAAAUAA